rnacentral:misc_RNA from 1 species
UUGAACCAGUAUCCGACCCCAGAAAAUUCAGAUGAAGAGUUAAAGAGGAUCGUUGAUUAGUUAGUAACUGUAACUCCUUGUAAUCAAUUUAUUUUUGUUUUCUUUAAUCUUUUUUGAGGUUAUAUAGCUACCCAGCCGCCAUAUGUGCCUGAGAAAAUGUCAGACACAAAGGAAAAUGAAGGGGUGUGUUAAAGAAUUAAAAAGAGAAGGAUUCUAUUUCUAUAUGGGUAAUUGAACGGAGGCAAGUCUCCGCUCUUGUAUGAGAGAAGUGG